rnacentral:rRNA from 1 species
GACGAACGUUGGCGGCGUGCUUAAUACAUGCAAGUCAACUGAAGCAGUGGUAGCAAUAUCGCUGUGGAGGUGGCGCACGGGUGAGUAACACGUAGGUAAUCUGCCUUCAGGUCUGGCAUAACUCCGGGAAACCGGGGCUAAUAGCAGAUGAUGCAGCGGCUCGACAUCGAGACAGUUGUUAAAGCUAUGGCGCCUGAAGAUGAGCCUGCGUCUGAUUAGCUAGUUGGCGGGGUAACGGCCCACCAAGGCAACGACCAGUAGCUGGUCUGAGAGGAUGAUCAGCCACACUGGAACUGAGACACGGUCCAGACUCCUACGGGAGGCAGCAGUAAGGAAUAUUGCUCAAUGGGAGAAAUCCUGAAGCAGCAACGCCGCGUGAGGGACGAAGGGCUUUUGCUUGUAAACCUCUGUAGUGAGAGAAAAAAAUCCCAAUCUUUGGGACAUGAUGGUAUCUCAAAAGUAAGCCCCGGCUAACUACGUG